AUGCUUGAAGAAGGGGAUGGGGUUAUGGCAGAUAAGGGGUUAACUAUUGCCGAUAUGCUAGAGAAAAAGGGCUGUACUUUAAAUAUUCCUCCUUUUCUUUCAUCUUCCUCUCAGUUUUCUCCUCAAGAUGUACUUAAAACUCAAGAAAUAGCAAAGCUUACAAUACAUGUUGAAAGAGCUAUAGGCCGUGUAAAGAAUUUUCAUAUAUUUGAUGGUGUACUUUCUCUUUCUUUAGCCCCAUUAGUUUCCCAGAUGUUUUCCGUCUGCUGCUGGAUCACCAAUCUUGAUGUGCCUUUGGUUGACAGUUAAAAGAUCUUCAGUUGUGCUGACUUCCACCUCACUUUCCAUGUCCGGGGCUUCAUCUGGGAUGUUCCAUAACUGAGCCAUGCCUAAGAUAUAAACAUUCUUGAAUAAUUAAUUUUUUGUAAAUGCAUUAUACACUUUAUUUUUUAAAGUAUUUGUCAUGUGUUUUGCUUUUAAAUAAAGCAUUUGUGAUUUAA